rnacentral:rRNA from 1 species
CGGGGUGCACCAGGCGCGAAACCUUUACACUGCACGAACGUGCGAUAAGGGGACUCCAAGUGCGAGGGCAUACAGUCCUCGCUUUUUCCUACCGUAAGGAGGUAGGCGAAUAAGAGCUGGGCAAGACCGGUGCCAGCCGCCGCGGUAAUACCGGCAGCUCGAGUGACGGCCACUAUUAUUGGGCCUAAAGCGUCCGUAGCUGGCCGAACAGGUCUGUCGGGAAAUCCGCUCGCUCAACGAGCGGACGUCCGGCGGAAACCAGUCGGCUUGGGACCGGAGGACCCGAGGGGUACGUCCGGGGUAGGAGUGAAAUCCUGUAAUCCUGGACGGACCACCGGUGGCGAAAGCGCCUCGGGAGGACGGAUCCGACAGUGAGGGACGAAAGCUUGGGUCACGAACCGGAUUAGAUACCCGGGUAGUCCAAGCUGUAAACGAUGCUCGCUAGGUGUGGCACUGGCUACGAGCCAGUGCUGUGCCGUAGGGAAGCCGAGAAGCGAGCCGCCUGGGAAGUACGUCCGCAAGGAUGAAACUUAAAGGAAUUGGCGGGGGAGCACUACAACCGGAGGAGCCUGCGGUUUAAUUGGACUCAACGCCGGACAUCUCACCAGCACCGACAGUGUGCGAUGAAGAUCAGUGUGAUGAGCUUAUUGGAGUCACUGAGAGGAGGUGCAUGGCCGCCGUCAGCUCGUACCGUGAGGCGUCCUGUUAAGUCAGGCAACGAGCGAGACCCCC